rnacentral:rRNA from 1 species
GAGUUUGAUCAUGGCUCAGGAUUAACGCUGGCGGCAUGCCUAAUACAUGCAAGUCGAACGGAGUAGCAAUACUUAGUGGCGAACGGGUGAGUAACACGUAUCUAAUCUACCAUUUAGUGGGGAAUAACUGUUGGAAACGACAGCUAAUACCGCAUAAUAUUGCUGGAUAAUUUCCAGUAAUGAAAGGAGCUUUCAAGCUCCGCUGAUUGAUGAGGAUGCGGCGCAUUAGCUAGUUGGUAGGGUAAUGGCCUACCAAGGCAAUGAUGCGUAGCCGAUCUGAGAGGAUGAACGGCCACAUUGGGACUGAGACACGGCCCAAACUUCUACGGAAGGCAGCAGUAGGGAAUUUUUCACAAUGGGCGAAAGCCUGAUGGAGCAAUGCCGCGUGACUGAUGAAGGUCUUCGGAUUGUAAAGGUCUGUUGUAAGGGAAGAAAUGGUAAAACAGGAAAUGGUUUUAUCUAUGACGGUACCUUACCAGAAAGCCACGGCUAACUAUGUGCCAGCAGCCGCGGUAAUACAUAGGUGGCAAGCGUUAUCCGGAUUUAUUGGGCGUAAAGGGUGCGUAGACGGUUUUGCAAGUCUGAGGUUAAAUUUAGGAGCUCAACUCCUAAUCGCCUUGGAAACUACAAGACUAGAGUACAGGAGAGGUUAGUGGAAUUCCAUGUGUAGCGGUGGAAUGUGUAGAUAUAUGGAGGAACACCAGUGGCGAA